GGAAAGCAAGCCCAAAGAAAACGGUAACUUCUGUACUGAGUGCAGGCCUCUAAACUCACCAUAUCCAAAACAGAUGUCAUUACCUUUCUCCUCCAUGUUUCUGAACUUCCUUGUUAUUAUUAAGAGCAUCACCAUCUUUCCAGGAACCCAGGGUACAACUUUCAUAAGUUCUGUGGGAAGGGAAGCUGAAACUUACUUCCUAAGUGAACUGACUUUGAUCUAUUCAGGUAUCUUCCUGACUCAGAGAAUUUCUAACUUGCUUAUUCAGGUAAGGAAGUUUUUCUGA
rnacentral:lncRNA from 1 species